rnacentral:rRNA from 1 species
UACGUAGGGUGCGAGCGUUGUCCGGAAUUACUGGGCGUAAAGAGCUCGUAGGUGGUUUGUCGCGUUGUCCGUGAAAACUCACAACUCAAUUGUGGGCGUGCGGGCGAUACGGGCAGACUGGAGUACUGCAGGGGAGACUGGAAUUCCUGGUGUAGCGGUGGAAUGCGCAGAUAUCGUUUGGAACGCCAAUGGUGAAAACAGGUUGCUGGGAGUGUGCUGACGCUGAGACACGAAAGCCAGGGGAGCAAACGGG